GGCCUCGUAGUUCAGGUGGUUAGAACGUAGGCUUUACUAAAGCUGUCAUAGGUUCGAAUCCCAUCGAGGUCG
rnacentral:tRNA from 1 species